CCAGUCUGCUGCUGCUGGCUCUGCCCCUGAUCUAUAUGCUUGCCUGACAUCAUCGGAAGUGUUGAACUGAGCCAAUUGCAAUUCUUUCCCAUAGGAAACUGUCAAGGAGGCAGAUCAGGGGCAUAGCCAAAACAAGCCAAACACAGCCCCGGCCAAUCAGCAUCUCCUCAUAUAAUUGCAUUUAAUCAAGGCAGCUCUAUGAGGAAAGUUUAGUGUAUCUAUGUAGAGGAUGGAGACACUAAUUGGCAGUGCUGCACAG